rnacentral:rRNA from 1 species
UACGGGAGGCAGCAGUGGGGAAUUUUGCACAAUGGGGGAAACCCGGAUGCAGCGACGCCGCGUGAUUUAGAAGACCCUCGGGUUGUAAAAAUCUUUUGUAUAGGAAGAAAAUGACAGUACUAUACGAAUAAGGUCCGGCUAAUUACGUGCCAGCAGCCGCGGUAAUACGUAAGGACCGAGCGUUGUCCGGAAUCAUUGGGCGUAAAGGGUACGUAGGCGGGUCAUUAAGUUAGAAGUCAAAGGCUAUAGCUCAACUAUAGUAAGCUUCUAAAACUGGAGACCUUGAGUAAUGGAAGGGAAAGUGGAAUUCCUAGUGUAGCGGUGGAAUGCGCAGAUAUUAGGAGGAAUACCGGUGGCGAAGGCGACUUUCUGGCCAUUUUCUGACGCUGAGGUACGAAAGCGUGGGUAGCAAACAGGAUUAGAUACCCUGGUAGUCCACGCCGUAAACGAUGAGUGUUAGGUGUCUGGAGUAAAUCUGGGUGCCGCAGCUAACGCAUUAAACACUCCGCCUGGGGAGUACGCACGCAAGUGUGAAACUCAAAGGAAUUGACGGGGACCCGCACAAGCAGCGGAGCAUGUGGUUUAAUUCGAAGCAACGCGAAGAACCUUACCAAGUCUUGACAUAUUACGGAAGGGAUUAGAGAUAAUCCCCUACAUCUUCGGAUGACUGUAAUACAGGUGGUGCAUGGUUGUCGUCAGCUCGUGUCGUGAGAUGUUGGGUUAAGUCCCAUAACGAGCGCAACCCCUUUUGCUAGUUACCAUCAUUAAGUUGGGGACUCUAGCAAUACUGCCGGUGACAAACCGGAGGAAGGUGGGGAUGACGUCAAAUCAUCAUGCCCUUUAUGACUUGGGCUACACACGUGCUACAAUGGCAGGUACACAGGGCAGCAAGACAGCGAUGUUAAGCGAAACUCAAAAAGCCUGUCCCAGUUCGGAUUGCACUCUGCAACUCGAGUGCAUGAAGUUGGAGUUGCUAGUAAUCGUGGAUCAGAAUGCCACGGUGAAUGCGUUCCCGGGCCUUGUACACACCGC